GCUGGGGAAAGGAGCAGACGGCUGAGAAUUGGUCCUUGGGGGAGCUGCCACUGUCCUGGGAUGGGAAGAAUCAAGGAAGCAACUGACAGAGAAGGAAGGAUUAUGCCAAAAUCUCUUCAAUUCUUUGAACUACAGGAAGAAAAGGUUUUGGGGAGGAGCAAAGAGGGGAGCUCAGAACUGGGAGACCUGAGAGUUUGUCUUGGUGCUGAUUUCAGGAGUUGGGUCACCUUGAGAGAGUCACCAGCUUUUUGGACUUCUUGGAGAUUGGCGGUGCUGUGAUAGCUUGAAUCUGAAACUCUACAAGAUUAAUACCACUGAUGUGUAAAGUCUUCAGAGGAGAACAUGGAUGAGGGCCAGAUGGAGCUGAACCUGGGCAAUAGACAACAAUGACAUUUGGGAGUGACCAGGGCUGCCCUAAGCCAAACCAAGAUCCAUCAUCUUUCCCGUAUCCAAUCAGCCUCAUUAAACUGCUUCCAUUUCCCACGUGAA